rnacentral:misc_RNA from 1 species
GUUGAUAUUGCCUCAUCUUAUUUAUUUAUUUUUUUUAUAAAAAAGACAAAGGGAAAGAAAAAAACUUAUAUAGACACGAGAAGAAAACGAAACAUCCGAACAAUCUCCUUGCAAAAGCGGAAGAAGGCUAGGCAGCGAAUUAGAGAGGCGAGAUAAGCCGAUAGGAAAACCAUGAGCCAGUUUAGAAAGGAAAUCUGCACAAGCAUUGGCCUUUCUAUAAACAUGAUGAAAAUCAAGCUUCCACUUAUGAUGACGCAAAUGGCAGAUAGAAUCUAAAAUAGAGCCAUGAUUAUUCAAAGAAACCGAAGAACUUUACACAACUUGAUAA